CCGGUAAACGGCGGCCGUAACUAUAACGGUCCUAAGGUAGCGAAAUUCCUUGUCGGGUAAGUUCCGACCUGCACGAAUGGCGUAAUGAUGGCCAGGCUGUCUCCACCCGAGACUCAGUGAAAUUGAACUCGCUGUGAAGAUGCAGUGUACCCGCGGCAAGACGGAAAGACCCCGUGAACCUUUACUAUAGCUUGACACUGAACAUUGAGCCUUGAUGUGUAGGAUAGGUGGGAGGCUUAGAAGUGUGGACGCCAGUCUGCAUGGAGCCGACCUUGAAAUACCACCCUUUAAUGUUUGAUGUUCUAACGUUGACCCGUAAUCCGGGUUGCGGACAGUGUCUGGUGGGUAGUUUGACUGGGGCGGUCUCCUCCUAAAGAGUAACGGAGGAGCACGAAGGUUGGCUAAUCCUGGUCGGACAUCAGGAGGUUAGUGCAAUGGCAUAAGCCAGCUUGACUGCGAGCGUGACGGCGCGAGCAGGUGCGAAAGCAGGUCAUAGUGAUCCGGUGGUUCUGAAUGGAAGGGCCAUCGCUCAACGGAUAAAAGGUACUCCGGGGAUAACAGGCUGAUACCGCCCAAGAGUUCAUAUCGACGGCGGUGUUUGGCACCUCGAUGUCGGCUCAUCACAUCCUGGGGCUGAAGUAGGUCCCAAGGGUAUGGCUGUUCGCCAUUUAAAGUGGUACGCGAGCUGGGUUUAGAACGUCGUGAGACAGUUCGGUCCCUAUCUGCCGUGGGCGCUGGAGAACUGAGGGGGGCUGCUCCUAGUACGAGAGGACCGGAGUGGACGCAUCACUGGUGUUCGGGUUGUCAUGCCAAUGGCACUGCCCGGUAGCUAAAUGCGGAAGAGAUAAGUGCUGAAAGCAUCUAAGCACGAAACUUGCC
rnacentral:rRNA from 2 species